GAUUGCCUCAGUAACGGCGAGUGAAGCGGCAACAGCUCAAAUUUGAAAUCUGGCCCCCAGGGUCCGAGUUGUAAUUUGCAGAGGAUGCUUUUGGCGCGGUGCCUUCCGAGUUCCCUGGAACGGGACGCCAUAGAGGGUGAGAGCCCCGUACGGUUGGACACCAAGCCUGUGUAAAGCUCCUUCGACGAGUCGAGUAGUUUGGGAAUGCUGCUCUAAAUGGGAGGUAUAUUUCUUCUAAAGCUAAAUACCGGCCAGAGACCGAUAGCGCACAAGUAGAGUGAUCGAAAGAUGAAAAGCACUUUGAAAAGAGGGUUAAACAGCACGUGAAAUUGUUAAAAGGGAAGCGCUUGUGACCAGACUUGCGCCCGGUGAAUCACCCAGCUCUCGCGGCUGGGGCACUUUGCCGGCUCAGGCCAGCAUCAGCUCGCCGUCGGGGACAAAAGCUUCGGGAACGUAGCUCUCUUCGGGGAGUGUUAUAGCCCGCUGCACAAUACCCUUCGGCGGGCUGAGGUACGCGCUCCGCAAGGAUGCUGGCGUAAUGGUCAUCAGCGACCCGUCUUGAAACACGGACCAAGGAGUCAACCUUAUGUGCGAGUGUUCGGGUGUCAAACCCCUACGCGAAAUGAAAGUGAACGCAGGUGAGAGCUUCGGCGCAUCAUCGACCGAUCCUGAUGUUCUCGGAUGGAUUUGAGUAAGAGCAUAUAGGGUUGGACCCGAAAGAAGGUGAACUAUGCGUGUAUAGGGUGAAGCCAGAGGAAACUCUGGUGGAGGCUCGCAGCGGGUUCUGACGUGCAAAUCGAUCGUCAAAUAUGCGCAUGGGGGGCGAA
rnacentral:rRNA from 1 species